UUUUAGUAGUUUCUAUUUAUAUAAUAUUUAUUUAUACUUAAUAAGACAAUUUGUAGACAUGAAUUUCUAAUGUUUAGUCACAUUUUAAUACAUAUAUUACAAUUAAACAGUAAAUAAUGAUUGUUAGAAUAUUUUUAUAUAUCUAAUAAAUAAAUAAAUACACGCUCUCAUAGGCGCUCUUAAUCUAAGAAACUUCUGUAUGCCCUUGCUCCUCCGCCCCCGCUUCCACUCCUAUCCCCACCCUUGCUUCGAGCAACCAAGGUUUGUGUUCUCUCAUCUUAGGCCAUAGCAGAUUGUUGGGGUGAAAAUUAAAAAAUGAAAUGUGAUUAUUAUGGUUCAUGUGUCGGAGUGCACGAGAGAAGAGACGGAUGUAGAGUCUCCAUCCAACAACAUAUCAGAAUGAUGAGACGAGAGAGAGAGAGAGAGAAGUGAUAAGGCUGAGUGAAGAGAAUUACGCGACGUGUAAACUCAAUGUUCCAUUAAUAUUUUUCAGUUGGUUCGGGUGCUAUGGUUUGUUGAAGUACAAAUCCGAGACUCGUCCGAGAAAUCGAGAGUUUUACUCGCAGAAAACUGAAGCCAACCGAAACCAUGUUCGAAACUGACCAUUUCUUGAUUGAGCGGGUUGAGUUUGGUGGUUUCAACGGGUGGAUCGGAUUUUUGAACAACCCUAAUUGCUAUCAUUCAAGUUCAAGGUCAAACUUUGUCUCAACCUGUGGGAUUGUUGCAGAAAAAAGGAGAAAAGAUAGUGUUCUAUUUGUACACAUUGAGGUGUCGAAUAUAAAACUUAUGGCUUUUAUGUGGGAAGCCAAGUCGGUGUAGCUUGUGCUAAAUCCUCUUUGGUGCUGAAUAAUCAUUUAUUUUGUUGGAAGCAUUGGACCUUUUUAUACGCCAGGAGGAUUACCCCAAUUAGUAGUGUUCUGUUUGGCAGUUCUAUUGGCUUAGAAUCUCUUUUUCGGUACUUCUUGUGGGUUGCUAAUAGGCUUGAGAAUAUGUGAAAGGAAUAUUUUUCUGAGGGAAGAAUGAUUAGUUCAGUUAUUAUUUGGUGAGAACAUGUUUGUUAUUGUACUAUUUUGGAGUUUUGGUUUGAGUUUGGGAGCUUGCCUUUUUAAUGUAUAAAGCUUUGUUAGGCCUAUGCUUAUGGAGUUUCAAAAUGAUAGUGGGGACUAUAUUGAGAUGCUGGCCAACAGCUGUUCAACAAGAGAGGCUAGCAGUUCUCAUGGAUGAAGACUAUUAAGAGGUGCUUUUAAUGUUAAUAUUGACUUCAACAAUGAUGUUAGAUCUGUUAGUUCAGUAUGAUGUUUCCUUUUACUUCUUUUUCUUCUUGCUCUGUUGAGAGGUCUUUGCAGGGAUCCGUUAUUUUGGCUAACAGUCAAACUCUUUCUUCUAUCAGGGUUGGUUGUGAUUUCUUUGUGUAUCUUCUACAUUUCUGUAAUGAGUGGCGAUAACGCCAUGAGACCUUUUUCUAGUGCCAUGAACAUUAUUACCAUAUGACCUCUCCCUCUAUGUCUCUCCUCUUUGCAACUUUUUUUUUCUCUAUCCUGAGCUCAACCAUCAUUCACUUUUUUCCCACUCCGCUUCUCUCUCCGUUGUCAUUUGUCCCUCUCACCCACCCUUUUCUCUCUCCAUUACAUUUCUUCUCUCUGCUUUCCCCUCUCUUCCUUUUUGAUUCUCUCUCUAAAAGCUCCACUCUAUGGUUUUUGCUUUUUUCAUCUUUUUCUUACUGUUUCAUUUGUUUGAUCUGACAACUGAUCAAUGCGGUCUCAUAUCUUUCUUUCUUUCAUUCUUCUUUUUUUUUUUUUUUUUUUUUUUUUUUUUUCAGCUGUCUUAUAGGGGCUUCUUGAUUUUCUGGAACUGUUCAUGCUCUAGUGGUUUAUAUUGUGUUUUCUUUCUCGCUUUUCUCUUUUAUUUUUCCCCCCUUGGAAAUCGAUUAUUGGUUUUAGUUAAAAGAGUUUACUUUACGGGUUGUGUGAUCAAUGAAUCGCUGAUUCCUGGUGGAUAUCAAUGUAUAGACAUGUCAUCUUCACCCUCUAACCAUGUGGUGAUGCUGAAGAUUGGGGUUGAUGUGUUCAGAUAAUGUCCUGGUGAAGAAACCCAGUAUGAGGCAGGUAUCUGGACGGGGGGUGAGGUUGUCGGAGAUGUUGGCACUGCUGGAUGAGUACAAUGGACGGGAAGAAUGGCGAUGCUGGGGUUGAGUUUGAGUUUUUCGUGCAUUCUCCUAUCCCUUACAUCGUCAUACUUUGUAAAGAAGUAGAGAGGAGAAAAGAGAACGAGGGAUUGUUGUGGUGGUUGGCGCCGGAGAUGGUGGUUGUGGUUGGCUGGAGGUGUUGAGGUUGGUGUUUGCAGGUAGUUGGGCUGUGUGCUUGCUGAUGUUGCAGAAUGCAGAAUGAGAGGGAAAGAGGAAGAGAGGGAAAGCAGAUAGGAGAAAUGAUGUGGGAAAAAUAUGAUAAAUGGUGGUUGAGCUUAGUGAUAAAAUGUUGUAAAGGGGAGAGAGGAGGGAAAAAAUGUCAGCUGGCAAUAAUGUUUGUGGCGCCAUAAUAAAAAUGUACCGUGGCAUUAUCCCCACCCUUCCAUAAUGCUAAAAUUAAGCCUUUCCUUUAAAUUUCGAUGUUGUAGUCAAGAAGUGACACUGGAAUAAAUCUACACUUUUCCCCCGGUAAUUGUUGGGUGUUUUGUUCUCUCUUUCUGUUACCUUUUAGAAUGAUAUGAUAAAAUGGAGAAAGAGCAGGAGUGGAACAAGGUUGUUUCAUUGAAUAAUGCUGCCAUGAAUUCAUGUCGUUCCUGAGAAGACAGAGCAUUUUAUGGAUAAAAAAGAACCCGGAAAGGAGGCUUCUGAGAACGUGAUUCGAGAGUCACUAAUUGCUAUCUCUUACCAUCUACCGGAGAAGGAUCUUGCUUCGGAAGUCUCGCCUGAAAAUUUGCAUCGCAAGGAUGUUGAAGGAAUAAAUGCCGGAGUGGAGGAGAAGUAUAGGUCUAAACUGAUGUCAAUAUUCGAUUCACCGUCACCGGACACUAAAUCUGUACCAGUUGCCAAGGGAGAUAAUAUCAAGGAUUAGCCUCGACUCCAGGUGAUUUAGAGCAACUAUAUACAAAUUUUUUCUUCUUAUGGUCUGAUGUGAUUUAGAGCUUGAAGAAGUGCUGUGCAUAGACUUAUAUGGGUCUAUAUGUGGAUGAAACUCUAUAUAUAUGGUCCAUUACAAAUUGCACUCAUAUACAUUGGCUGCAAGUUUCUGAACAUGUUGAAAAUGGUUUGUCUUCCUGUUUUGUCAUGCUGCUGCUUGAUUACAUUUUCUUCACAGUUGAGAUAUGAUCAUACUUUGUUUCCUUUUUUGGAUACAAAUGGUCUGGUAGUAAUGAAAAUAAAGGAAGAUGAUAUCAUAUCGUCUUGCUUGCAUCUUUGGAUA